rnacentral:misc_RNA from 1 species
GAUGAAGAACGUAGCGAAAUGCGAUACUUGGUGUGAAUUGCAGAAUCCCGUGAACCAUCGAGUCUUUGAACGCAAGUUGCGCCCGAAGCCAUUAGGCCGAGGGCACGCCUGCCUGGGCGUCACACGUCGUUGCCCCCCCAUCUACUCCUUCGGGAUUGCGGGGGGCGGAUGAUGGCCUCCCGUGCGCCUCGUCGCGCGGUUGGCAUAAAUGCCAAGUCCUCGGCGACGCACGCCACGACAAUCGGUGGUUGCGAAACCUCGGUUGCCCGUCGUGUGCGGUCGUCGGGCAUCGAGGGCUCGAAAAAAUUGUCGGGCUCCGGCUCGGCUUUCAACGCGACCCCAGGUCAGGCGGGGUUACCCGCUGAAUUUAAGCAUAUCAAUAAGCGGAGGA